GGAGGGUGCAAGCGUUGUUCGGAAUUACUGGGCGUAAAGAGCGUGUAGGCGGUUUGGCAAGUCAGAUGUGAAAGCCCUGGGCUCAACCCAGGAAGUGCAUUUGAAACUGCCAUUCUAGAGUAUGGGAGAGGAGAGUGGAAUUCCCGGUGUAGAGGUGAAAUUCGUAGAUAUUGGGAGGAACACCCGUGGCGAAGGCGACUCUCUGGACCAAUACUGACGCUGAGACGCGAAAGCGUGGGGAGCAAACAGGGAUUAGAUACCCUGGUAGUCCACGCCGUAAACGAUGAGAACUAGGUGUAGCGGGUAUUGACCCCCCUGCUGUGCCGUAGCUAACGCAUUAAGUUCUCCGCCUGGGGAGUACGGUCGCAAGGCUA
rnacentral:rRNA from 1 species